GGAACCCUGCUGAGAGGUGGGGGUGCUCGAAAGAGAGCCGUAACACAGGUGCUGCAUGGCUGUCGUCAGCUCGUGUCGUGAGAUGUCGGGUUAAGUCCCGCAACGAGCGCAACCCUUGUCAUUAGUUGCUACGAAAGGGCACUCUAAUGAGACUGCCGGUGACAAACCGGAGGAAGGUGGGGAUGACGUCAAGUCCUCAUGGCCCUUAUGGGUAGGGCUUCACACGUCAUACAAUGGUACAUACAGAGGGCCGCCAACCCGCGAGGGGGAGCUAAUCCCAGAAAGUGUAUCGUAGUCCGGAUUGUAGUCUGCAACUCGACUACAUGAAGUUGGAAUCGCUAGUAAUCGCGGAUCA
rnacentral:rRNA from 1 species